UACGUAGGGCGCAAGCGUUAUCCGGAAUUAUUGGGCGUAAAGAGCUUGUAGGUGGUUUGUCGCGUCUGCUGUGAAAAUCCGAGGCUCAACCUCGGACUUGCAGUGGGUACGGGCAGACUAGAGUGUGGUAGGGGAGACUGGAAUUCCUGGUGUAGCGGUGGAAUGCGCAGAUAUCAGGAGGAACACCGGUGGCGAAGGCGGGUCUCUGGGCGAG
rnacentral:rRNA from 1 species